rnacentral:rRNA from 1 species
AAAUUGAAGAGUUUGAUCAUGGCUCAGAUUGAACGCUGGCGGCAGGCCUAACACAUGCAAGUCGAACGGUAACAGGAAGCAGCUUGCUGCUUCGCUGACGAGUGGCGGACGGGUGAGUAAUGUCUGGGAAACUGCCUGGUGGAGGGGGAUAACUACUGGAAACGGUAGCUAAUACCGCAUAACGUCGCAAGACCAAAGAGGGGGACCUUCGGGCCUCUUGCCAUCGGAUGUGCCCAGAUGGGAUUAGCUAGUAGGUGGGGUAACGGCUCACCUAGGCGACGAUCCCUAGCUGGUCUGAGAGGAUGACCAGCCACACUGGAACUGAGACACGGUCCAGACUCCUACGGGAGGCAGCAGUGGGGAAUAUUGCACAAUGGGCGCAAGCCUGAUGCAGCCAUGCCGCGUGUAUGAAGAAGGCCUUCGGGUUGUAAAGUACUUUCAGCGGGGAGGAAGGGAGUAAAGUUAAUACCUUU